rnacentral:rRNA from 1 species
GAUGAACGCUGGCGGCGUGCCUAACACAUGCAAGUCGAGCGGCAGCGAGGGGUGCUUGCACCCUGUCGGCGAGCGGCGGACGGCUGAGUAACGCGUGGGAACGUGCCCCAAAGUGAGGAAUAACUGCCCGAAAGGGUAGCUAAUACCGCAUAUUAUCUUCGGAUCAAAGGAUUUAUCCGCUUUGGGAGCGGCUCGCGUCGGAUUAGGUAGUUGGUGAGGUAAUGGCUCACCGAGCCGACGAUCCGUAGCUGGUCUGAGAGGAUGACCAGCCAGACUGGAACUGAGACACGGUCCAGACUCCUACGGGAGGCAGCAGUGAGGAAUCUUCCACAAUGGGCGAAAGCCUGAUGGAGCAACGCCGCGUGCAGGACGAAGGCCUUCGGGUUGUAAACUGCUUUUAUAAGUGAGGAAUAUGACGGUAACUUAUGAAUAAGGAUCGGCUAACUACGUG